rnacentral:snRNA from 1 species
GUACUCACUUUGGCAGCACAUAUACUAAAGCUGGAAUGAUAUAGAGAAGAUAAGCAUGGCCCCUGCACAAGGAUGACAUGCAAAUUUGUGAAGGAGUGACCCUUGGC